rnacentral:rRNA from 1 species
GUUAGGAAUAUUGGACAAUGGGCGAAAGCCUGAUCCAGCCAUGCCGCGUGAACGAUGAAGGCCUUCGGGUUGUAAAGUUCUUUAGCCGAUGAUUAUAAUGACUGUAGUCGGAAAAUAAGCCCCGGCUAACUUCGUGCCAGCAGCCGCGGUAAUACGAAGGGGGCGAGCGUUAUUCGGAAUCACUGGGCGUAAAGCGUGCGUAGGCGGUGUUGUAAGUUAGGAGUGAAAGCCCAGGGCUCAACCUUGGAGUUGCUCUUAAAACUGCAAGGCUCGAAUCUCGGAGAGGAUAGCGGAAUUUCCAGUGUAGCAGUGAAAUGCGUAGAUAUUGGAAGGAACACCAGUGGCGUAAGCGGCUAUCUGGACGAGUAUUGACGCUGAGGCACGAAAGCGUGGGGAUCAAACAGGAUUAGAUACCCCUGUAGUCC